CUACUAGGUGGCUACUCGGCAGACCAUCCUGUAAUCAAAAUAUUUUGGAGAGUGGUGGAAAGCUUCACUGAUGAAGAAAAACGUAAAUUGCUCAAGUUUGUAACAAGCUGCUCUCGACCCCCUCUGCUGGGAUUUAAGGAAUUAUAUCCUGCAUUUUGCAUUCACAAUGGAGGAUCUGAUCUAGACAGGCUUCCCACUGCCAGUACCUGCAUGAACUUGCUGAAGCUUCCGGAGUUUUAUGAUGAAAACCUUAUGCGGAGCAAGCUUCUAUAUGCCAUUGAAUGUGCUGCUGGAUUUGAGCUAAGUUGAGUUGAACUGAGGUGUAAUCAGAUGCUGUGCAGAGGACCUAACCAGUGCCUACUUCAAAAGCAGCACCCGUACCCAAGCAGAUUAAAAGACAACUCCAUCUAGGUUUCUGCAGCAUUCAUUUCUUACCAGUUGCCCCCAAAUGGGUUUCAUUUUUAAACACACAGUUUGUUUGUUAGCUGUCAUUAAUUAACCUUACAUUGACACUGCUUUAUGAUUCAAAAUAAUGAAUGCUGUGUGCAGUGUGGCUGUUUUGUGUGUUUAUGCCAAGAAAGAGCACAUUUAAAGAACAGUGACAUCUCCGUGAAAUUAACCAAAGAUGAAGCUUUGGCUUUGUGCUGUUCAAAUAUAAAUAAAUCCACAAGCUGGCAAUAAACUUGUGUACAAUGCAGCACGCUGGGAUAAAACAGAGCUAACAUCCUGUAAUAAGUCUUAGAGGGAAAAAAGAUGUGUGCAAAUGUCCUAGAAUUCAGAGGUUGAGAUUGCUUGUUCCUGAUGACCCCACAUCUUUUCUCAUGUGGUAGAACUGUUUACAAACAUUAGUUGUUGCUAUUAAGAUGGAUUAGAAUUGUUUAAUACUACCUUUGCUUAAGAGGGUAGGCACUGAGAUAAAACAUUUAUAGGCUUUUAUUUGGACUCUCUGAAAUAUCUUCCAGAAAUGGGUUUCGCAUGCUUAUUUUUAAGUUCUACCUUUUGCUACGUCAUGAUCAGUUGGACACUGUCAUAAACAGAUGUGACUGUCCAUGCUUUCUCUGUUCUGUUUCUCUCUCUCCUUAGUGCCUGUACAGACUUUUUUUUUAUGCAUCAGACUCCUAUGACAUACCCAAUACAUACAGUAGUCAUGACUUUGGAAAAAAUAUACUUGUAACAACUAUUAAAAUUAUUUGAACCAAAGUAUCAGGCUUUAUCUUUUAUAUCUGAAGCCUGCGGUGUUCACAUUCCUUCUGCUCAUCAUUUAUUUCCAUUCUAAAUGCCAUGUUCCAUAGAAUAUAGUCUGAUUCAUUAUUUUUGUCAAUAAGCAGCUUUCACAUCCAUCUGGUCUUAGCGGUUUUGCUCAGGCAAGUAGAUGGGAACAUGCUGCUUAUCAUAAUUUGAUUGCCAGGGGAAAAACUGGUUUCAAAUGGAGGGAUUUCGUUCUCUAAUAAUAGGCACAUUACUGGGUCAAGAUUUGUGUUCACAUAUAAUUUGCAUUCAGCUAAAAAUAAUGAUAAUUCAAGCCAUAAGAAGCAUAAACAAGUAUAUCCCUUCUGAUCUUCAAAGAAAAAAAACAAUUUACCAUCAGAGUCUUGCUCAUCUCUAUUGCUAAAAUUAUUUUGCUAUUCCUGGAUUUCAUAUUUAAUAAGCAGUAACUAGCAAUAUCCUCUUAAAUGGGGGGAAAUUCUGUGAUUUUAAAAUGUUUACUAGUAUCAGUAUAAAAUGUAUAAUUUCUUAAUUUGGGUAAAAAAUGAAGUGUUAAAAUACUAUUUGUAGUCUUGAUGUACAGAAAUAAAAUAAUUGGUUUUCUUUUUGGUUUUGCUUUAGGCUUUUUAUUUAUGUUAAAUGUUACAUACUCAGCAUAUUCUUUAUCAAAAAGUUGGGUUUCUUGUAUAUUUUUCUAUAUAAAUUAUGGACCUUAUUCAGAAGAUGGAAACAAGAGCAGUUAUAGUGUGAUUGCCUCUUAAAAGCAAAACAUGCACAUUUCUUUUAGACAGCAUUAUUUAUUUUAUAACCCAAUGCUUUAUUUUGAAAUUAUUUUUCAAUUGAAUUCAUUUGCUACAUUGAUAGUGUCAUGUUUGUAUGUUGUAAAAUGCAAAUUACAUUUUUCUAUUAAAUAUUCACAUUUCCAAGACUGUGUUGGAGUCAUGCCAUGUAACAAUGGUUGGUAAUGUGUACUUCUGUUGGAUAAGGAGACCCAGUGCACACCCCUUAGAAGCUGCUGGGAAUACUAAUGGAAGAGAGCCAAGGGUAGGCUAGAGAACAAUAUACUUCAUACAUAUGUGUAUUCAAAUACAUGCAGAAAUUACUUACAAUGCAAGAAAAGUGACCAGAACCUUUUAGUCCACUAAGGAAUAUUCAGUUUCUUUAAUAAAUUCAGUAUUUAAUUCUCAGUCACUGUGGGCAUGUCUUCACACGUAUUAAUGUGCUGUAGUUACUGUGCAUGAAGUUUAAUACCUGUAAUAAGAGGUACUAGCUCAAUGCACAGUAACUGGCGCUACUGCACAAUAGUGCCAGCACAUGCCUCUUUAGUGAUGCUAAUACACAGUAAGUAGAGUAAUUCUAUUGCACAUUAGUGCAUUAGAACGUCUUUUGCCAUGACACGCAAAUGCAUGGUAGAAUUUGUCUACUGCUCAUUUAGCGUUGCAUGGAGAUGUGCCCAGUAUUUCCUAUAUUUUUCUACCCAUAAAGUGUAAAAUCCUGACACGUUGAAGACUGUAGGAGUUCUAAAUGGUUCUUAGUUAUGUUAUUUGCCAUGGGCAUGGGGGGCCCAGGAUUUCACCCCUGCUUAUUCAGGUUCUCAGGCCAGUUUUGCAGUCGGUUUAAAGUACCAUAAUAAUGGAGGUAAAAAACCAGAAGCAGUUGUGUAGUUAUGUAUAAGCUGAGUUUUUCUGCACGGAUUCAGCCACUUCCUGUAAAAGAAAUGCAGUAUAGCUGUCCUCAAAUUAUAACACUUUGAGCACAGACAGAAUUUCUGAGAUUUUUUCAAGUUAAUAAGUUAAUUAGUUGAGCUGAGAUUAAAUAAUUACAAAAGGAGCCCUUUAAGACAGGUAGCAACUUGUCUCAAACCAUUUCUUUGCUCCAGUUUAGUAAUGCUGGACAAAUGUCCUUCAUAGUUAAAACUCACUGAAAUGGAAGUAAAUUUUGUCUCUUGCUCCUUUCAUCUUAAUGAGAAUUUCACCACCAAUUUCAGGUAGAUCAAGAUUUUUACAGAUAGCCACUCUUUCAGAAACAAGACUAUUCCCAUUUGGAAUGAAUCCAUGCUACCACUUGCUGUAACAGCUGGAAUUUGAUUUCGGUUACAGAACAUUUGCAAUAACCCAAUUGAUUUCAAUGAGAGAUUAGAGUAAGGUAUGCAGUAUUUGGUCCUGGUUUCAUGAGUUAGACUCACCGUGACAGAAGUCUAAUUUGACAGCAGACAGUCUCAUGUCAGUUCUAUUAGGAGUGCACUAUAAUUCAAAUAAAAUAUGUUUCCUGAUGGUGUUGGCAGCAGUUGGAACAAUUUUUGGCAUCAGCUGAAGCAAAACUAACAUCAGCUUCCUAAUCUCAGCCAUAAAGGGCUCUGGAAUUCACAGUGAACAUUUUAGGAAGUGCAAUGAGCUAAUGCUGAAUCUUAGCCUAUUUAAACCAAAAACUAUUUAUGAAAUGCUGGUGGGCAGCAGUAAACUUUUCCUAUACUGUGAAAAUACCAGAGCAGAGACAAAAAUGGAAAAAUGUACAAUGCCACCCACCUCCUGUUUGCCUUGGAAUGUUUGGUUGGAAAUGAAAUAAAUGUUCUGUGCUUAUUUAUAAUUAUAUGCAAAUCCUUUGAAACAAAUGUUAAUGUAUACAUACUGCUAUUUGAAUAAUAGCUUCUGAUAUAAAUGCUCAUUUUGUUAUUUUAAUGGCAGUUCCACGUCAGUGGAAUUGAGAAAAAAAUGUCAUGGUGUGUGAACUGAUUGGAAUAUCUAUAUUUUUAUUGAUUUCUGCUUUUGCAAAUAAAACUGUUGGAGUUUUCUUGAAA